rfam:Salmo salar isolate Sally breed double haploid chromosome ssa22, whole genome shotgun sequence.
UGUAUUCACUACUGUAAGUUGCUCUGGAUAAGAGCGUCUGCUAAAAGACGUAAA